UGAUAUUUCCUGUCAUUAGCGGCCCCAUGU
rnacentral:piRNA from 1 species